rnacentral:rRNA from 1 species
GCUGAAAUUCGCCUGCAUGAAGCCGGAAUUGCUAGUAAUGGCAGGUCAGCAUACUGCCGUGAAUACGUUCCCGGGCCUUGUACACACCGCCCGUCACACCAUGAGAGUUGGGGAUACCCAAAGCCCGUGAGCCAACUUUUUAAGAGGCAGCGGUCUAAGGUAGAAUCAAUGAUUGGGGUGAAGUCGUAACAAGGUACC